rnacentral:rRNA from 1 species
AUAUUGGACAAUGGGCGAAAGCCUGAUCCAGCCAUGUCGCGCGUGUGAAGAAGGUCUUCGGAUUGUAAAGCACUUUAAUUUGGGAGGAGGGGUUGUAGGUUAAUACCCUGCAAUUUUGACGUUACCAACAGAAUAAGCACCGCCUAACUUCGUGCCAGCAGCCGCGGUAAUGCGAAGGGUGCAAGCGUUAAGCGGAAUUACUGGGCGUAAAGCGCGCGGAGGUGGUUCGUUAAGUUGGAAGUGAAAGCCCCGGGCUUAACAUGGGAAUUGCUUUCAAAACUGACGAGCUAGAGUACGGUAGAGGGUAGUGGAAUUUCCUGUGUGGCGGUGAAAUGCGUAGAUAUAGGAAGGAACAUCAGUGGCGAAGGCGACUACCUGGACUGAUACUGACACUGAGGUGCGAAAGCGUGGGGAGCAAACAGG